rnacentral:rRNA from 1 species
UACAGAGGUCUCAAGCGUUGUUCGGAUUCAUUGGGCGUAAAGGGUGCGUAGGUGGCGGGGUAAGUCAGGUGUGAAAUCUCGGAGCUCAACUCUGAAACUGCACUUGAUACUGCCUUGCUCGAGUACUGGAGAGGAGAUUGGAAUUUACGGUGUAGCAGUGAAAUGCGUAGAUAUCGUAAGGAAGACCAGUGGCGAAGGCGAAUCUCUGGACAGUUACUGACACUGAGGCACGAAGGCCAGGGGAGCAAACAGG